rnacentral:lncRNA from 10 species
CCUGGCCAAGCCUGGCUGGGUUGUAGCUUUUGCGCUUUAGUCCCUCUGCCGCAGAACCAGAUAGAGCUGGGGACUCACGACCCGUGCUGACGACUGGAUGCAAGAGGAGGAAGGACUUUGGUGGAGAGAAGGAAUCAAAAGGAACCAAGAAUGUGAGACAAGAGGACUUGCUGGUGGGGUCCCCUGCUGUGUCCCCAGAGUCCCAGCAUGUGCCUGACACACAGCAGGUGCCUGAUUGAUAGUGACGGUUCCCCAAAGGCUGCUGGAGUCACCUCUGGGAUUCUGCACAGGCUCCACCCUCUGGGGAGGUGUGCUUGGUAGAGGACACGAAGGCUGCUUGUUGGGGUUACCUUAGUACCUGGGUGAAGAGUAAAAAGUAAUUAAUAAUAACGAAAGAAAACGAUUGAGUUGGGUGAACCAUCGGCGUCCUUGAACCUUGCGGACUUAUGGCACCCAUAGGGUAGGGCAUGGGGUCUGGGAGUGAGGAGCGUGUACCUUUCACUUCCAGAGAGGCACCUUCUUGGGCUACCUGGGAUGAGGCCAGGUGGUGCUGGUGGCCAGGACGUAGGUUACCUGAAUGCCCACGAGUCCUGGGUGGCUGCCAGCUCCGAGUUGGGCAGCCCAGUCUACUCGGGGGCCAGGCAGGCGCAAAGAUGAGUGAGGCAGCUCCUGCAACAGAACAGGAAGGAGAGAAUCUGCUAGAAACUGGAAUGCUAAUGCCCUGGCCCAGAGCCAUUCCCAGUGAAAAUAAAAUAAGAUUUGAAAUGGGGCCGCCACCAGAGCAGGUCAGGAGUGACCCCGCGGCAGCCCUCUGUGUUGGCUGGAAAGCUGACAGGUCUGGGGGCCACACAGUCUGAGCGGGAAGGGCUCGGAGGUGGAGCCUCACUUCACAGGUAAACUGAGGCCUUGAAA